rnacentral:tRNA from 1 species
GCCAGUGAGAUGUAGUGGUUUGAGUGUUGGACUACAACUCUGGAGACCAGGGUUCGACUCCCAGCUUGGCCA